CGGAAUAUGGCGCAGCCUGGUAGCGCACUCGUCUGGGGGGCGAGGGGCCGUGGGUUCAAAUCCCACUAUUCCGACCA
rnacentral:tRNA from 1 species